AACUUUUGGCAAUGGAUCACUUGGGUCUCCCAUCGAUGAAGAACGCAGCGAAAUGCGAUAAGUAAUGUGAAUUGCAGAAUUCAGUGAAUCAUCGAAUCUUUGAACGCACCUUGCACCCUUUGGAAUUCCAAAGGGUAUGCUCGUUUGAGUGUCAUUGUACUCUCACACUCUCCGAUCCUCUGGAUUUGGGGAGCGGUGGACUUGGGUGCUUGCUGCUUUCCUUGCGGCUCACCUCAAAUGCGUCAGUGCAUCUCUUGAUUGGACAUAGUACGGCGUGAUAAGUGUCUUCGCCGGCACCUCAUAAGAGGGUGGCUGAUCGGGAGCUCUGUGCUUUCAAACCGUCUUCGGACACUCUCUGACAACUUGACCUCAAAUCGAGUAGGACUACCCGCUGAACUUAAGCAUAUCAAUAAGCGGAGGCU
rnacentral:misc_RNA from 1 species